UACGAAGGGGGCUAGCGUUGUUCGGCGAAUUACUGGGCGUAAAGGGCUCGUAGGUGGCCAACUAAGUCAGACGUGAAAUCCCUCGGCUUAACCGGGGAACUGCGUCUGAUACUGGAUGGCUUGAGUUUGGGAGAGGGAUGCGGAAUUCCAGGUGUAGCGGUGAAAUGCGUAGAUAUCUGGAGGAACACCGGUGGCGAAGGCGGCAUCCUGGACCAAUACUGACGCUGAGGAGCGAAAGCCAGGGGAGCAAACGGG
rnacentral:rRNA from 1 species